GUGGAUUAGAUACCCUGGUAGUCCCCGCCCUAAACGAUGUCUACUAGUUGUCGGGUCUUAAUUGACUUGGUAACGCAGCUAACGCGUGAAGUAGACCGCCUGGGGAGUACGGUCGCAAGAUUAAAACUCAAAGGAAUUGACGGGGACCCGCACAAGCGGUGGAUGAUGUGGAUAAAUUCGAUGCAACGCGAAAAACCUUACCUACCCUUGACAUGUACGGAAUUCUGCUGAGAGGUGGAAGUGCUCGAAAGAGAGCCGUAACACAGGUGCUGCACGCCUGUCGCCAACU
rnacentral:rRNA from 1 species